UUCCUGUAUCUCGUGACACACACAGGCAAAUGGACCGAUGCGUUCUUUGUCCACGGCACAGAAAGUGUUAGGGUGUAUGCGAGUCAUUUCUGAAGUUCAGUUAUAAGACAAACUGAGACUUCCUUGACUUGGAAAAUGUGCAUUAACCGGAUGUGACAUGGACCACUAAUGGACACGGGCUCCUUGGAUCUGGGCCGUGGACUUGUCGCUCGUUUCGGGGCCGUACAGGAAGUGGCAAGCGCAGCUCUUCUGCAUGAGCUCGGCGCGGGCGU